rnacentral:rRNA from 1 species
GGAGGAACCCAUGGGAUCGCAAGACCUUGCGCUCAUUGAGCGGCCGAUGCCUGAUUAGCUAGUUGGUGAGGUAAAGGCUUACCAAGGCGACGAUCAGUAGCUGGUCUGAGAGGACGACCAGCCACACUGGGACUGAGACACGGCCCAGACUCCUACGGGAGGCAGCAGUGGGGAAUUUUGGACAAUGGGGGAAACCCUGAUCCAGCCAUGCCGCGUGAGUGAAGAAGGCCUUCGGGUUGUAAAGCUCUUUCAGCCGGAACGAAACGGUCACGGCUAAUACCUGUGACUACUGACGGUACCGGAAGAAGAAGCACCGGCUAACUACGUGCCAGCAGCCGCGGUAAUACGUAGGGUGCGAGCGUUAAUCGGAAUUACUGGGCGUAAAGCGUGCGCAGGCGGUUUUGUAAGUCAGAUGUGAAAUCCCCGGGCUUAACCUGGGAACUGCGUUUGAAACUACAAAGCUAG